GGGGGGGGUCUUCGGAUUCCCCCUUUUCAAUCCACAAACCACACCACGUGCACCCGUGAGGAAGGGAGGGGGAGCCUUCGGGCUUCCUUUCCCCCCCUCUGUUCAUACGAAACCCUUCUGUCGUUCGAGCGUGUUUUUGCGAGAAAAAGUCGAAAACUUGACACAACUUUCAACAACGGAUCUCUUGGCUUUCGCAUCGAUGAAGAACGCCGCGAAAGCGCGAAACGUAAUGUGAAUCGCAGAAUUCAGUGAAUCAUUGAAUCUUUGAACGCACCUUGCGCUCCUCGGCGUUCCGAGGAGCAUGCCUGUUUGAGUGUCGUGAAGUUAUCUCGGAGCCCCGCCUUCCGUUUCGGUGGGUGGUGGCUUUCGGAUCUGGACGUCUGCCGACGGCGAGGGUCUCGACCCUCGCGUAGGCUCGUCUUCAAACGCAUUAGCGGAACAGCCUCCGCCCCCUUGCCAGACGUGAUAAAACCUUUUGCGUCGGAAGAGGGGGGGCGUUCGCCUUUCCGCUCGUCAGCCGUCUCCGUGACAAAGACCCCGACCUCUGACCUCAAAUCAGGUAGGACUACCCGCUGAACUUAAGCAUAUCAAUAAGCGGAGGA
rnacentral:rRNA from 1 species